UUCAAAUAUCUCUUUAUUGAUAGAUGAUAUGAGUUUAUAUACAACGCCAACAUGUGUCUCCAAAGGAGGCGUCUAUUUCGAAAGGUUGCCUCCAAAGGAUGCAACGCUCUAGGGUGAAAAUCUCCUCACGGUUGUAACAACCCAUGCAUGAAGAGCGGGGAUUAUUCCAUAAUUAAUGAUGGGUUAAUUAUUUUUAACACUCUUCCUAAUCACCGAUUGACUGCAUAUGGAUUCAUCAUGUUGAUUAUGUCUCCUUCAUAUGAGGAGUGGUGUAGGAUAUGCUGUUAAAACUCCUUCCAACCCAGUGGGAAAAAUAAGAAGAAAAUGAUGCAACAUAUAAUGAUUAUUAUCUCUUUUAACUCAAUACAAGAAAACUCAGAGAGUUUAGAGGACAAUAAAUAUGUCGUAUGUACUUUCCUAAAAAACCCGAUGGGGAAACAUAAACCAUGACAUAUGAUCUCAUGUUGAUAUUAUCUCAUUAAAAACCUUUAUGAGAACCUGUAAAGUAAACUCAUGAAGGGAAAAAGAGUAUAACAUGAUGCAUUGAACAUGAACAAUUCAGGAAGACACCCCCCCUGAUUCUUGCAAAUUUCGAAGCCAUCACAUACCAAUUCCAUGAACACAUUCUGAAAUGUAAAAGUUGGUAGAGACUUGGUGAACAAAUCAGUUGCAUGAUUUGACUCGCAAGUUAUGCAAUAUAAAGAUAUUGCUUAUUAGUAACCUGUUUGCAUCCGAGCAACACAAGCAACAUUAUCGUUGAGAUAAUGGUUGGUGGAUGUAGCCAUGAGAUCUGUUUCAAAGACUCUUUACGAGAGGGCUACCACACCUAGUAGGAACACCAACCUAGUCUAUGAUCUAACAUAGUAGGGAUCUGAUUGAUGUAUCCAAUGAUAUUGGUGUCCAGAUUUCUAUCACAAUGAAAGAUUAGGACAAAAUAUUUGAUGCAUUGGAGAUAUCGAAAGAUAUUCUUAAUCUUAACCAAUUGUGUUUGGUGGAUCGAAUGCAUAAGCUGUGAUAUGGAACUUUAUGUCCCAACAUCAUAUUUCCAUCUCCUCAUGGUCUAAAUGAAUCUUUCUCUAUGUCUAGAGAACGGAUAACCAUGGGAAUUAUGGAUAAGACUUGUCCACAAUCAAUUUGUCCAAUAUAAUCUUGACAUAGACAAUAUGGUGUACCAUAAUGUACGAAUGAAGAUGCUCAAGUUGUAGUAACGAGCGGUAUUUCGGUUUACCCAAAUUCUGUUGGAAAGAUGUAUUCAAAUUUGUCUUUCCCGCUUCCAAAAAAUUCCGCUAGUUCGACGAUCAUCAUGCUACAAGUCGGCGAUCAAGAUGCCAUAGUUCGGCGAUAAAACACACCCAUUAGUUCGACGAUUAAAAGGAAGGAAUCAUAGACAUGGAACGAAUGAAACGGUUGGCUCCUCUGCCACGGGACCGGCCGAGGUCGGCGCACACGUGGGCGUAGUCGGGCUCGAGCUCGGCGUCGGCGUAGUCGGGCUCGGAAUCGGUGUGGUUUAUGUGCUCGGGCUGGGCAUCGUCAUUGGUGUUGCCAUCGUGGUCGCCGCCGGUGCGAGCAUGCGGUUUAAGAUGAGGCCGCACUCCGCGAGGUACCAUGCCUUCACUUGCUUGUCCAUCGUUGACAUAUAUGCCGCCAUCAAGAACACCAGGUCGGUGUUCCUCUUCUUCGCAGCGACGUUGGUCCUGAGAAGGUCGAGCUUGACGUCCUACUUCGUCAUCAACGCCGACCACGCGCGUCGGAUUUCUCCUCCUCUUGGCGGCGAUGGUCUUGGUGUUGGCAAUACAUUGCUCAAUCAAAGAUUGCAGCCGAUCGGCAGCGGGCACCACGGCCCUCGCCGUCUUGGCUCUUUUGUUGCCAUCGGGGAGCCCUUCUGCCGCGAUCGGGGCAGGCGUGUCCGGAUUGUAGGUCUCCUUGGCCUUGGCGUGUGACAGCCCGAUGCCGACGUUCCAGAAGAUUCCCCUUCUAUUCCGUUUUCGUCGUGUGGUUAUUUUUAUUUGUUGCAUCAUCAUCGCAUCUUGCGCAUCAUCAGCAUUCCAUCGGCAUAUCUGUUGCCGCCAGUUUUCAAAAGUUGCAUCCGUUGUUAGUUCCCGGUUCUCGUCGUUGUCCGUUCUCAGCCCGACCACACACGCACGCGCCCGCGACAUCGUCUAAAUCCUUGUUUUUAAAAUUGUGUAUCAAACUUUCUCUGAUAGGUUCGAAACUUGGUGUGCGGUCUUAUUUUAAUAUAGGUAGGCCGUAUGCCAAUUUUCAUCGCUAUCGGAGUUCGACGGUACCCGAACGGUCGCGCCGUAGCGGCACCGUAUUCGGUUACCGUCGGACGUUUUCGUUGUUUUAAACCCCGAUGUCGGGCUGCCCGUUUCCCCUCUCAUCUCUGCCUGGCCCCUCUGCACAGUGCACCGACCUCCGCGCGGCCUAGUCCGAAAACCUCUCGGGACCCGAACCGGGCGGUCGUGACCGUUGGAUCCGGAUCAACCCCGUUUUACCGCAAACCGUCAUCGAUUUGUACACUAGACUCCCUAACGUGCCUAUUUUCGACUGUCUAAUUAAAUCGAAGGGUCCUGAGCUAGUUAUAUAUAUAUAUAGAGAGAUCAACCGUGCCAACCCUAAAAUUUAGGGACAAAUUCCCCUGUCCCAUCCGCCGCCGCCGCACACCACUUGGUCUCCUCCUCUCUCAAUUUCCCCACCGAGCCAAUCCCCUCCAUCUCGCAUCAGCGCCACGCCGCCACCUGCUGUCUUCUACCUCGGGAUCCCCAGAUGCAGCCAAGCCAUCCUUCAUGCCGAGCCAUCGGAGCCAUGCCCCGCGCCCGACAGCACCCAUGCGCCCGAGCCUCGCUCGAGCCACGAUGUUGGAGCCCCGCUGUCACGCCCAAGAUGCGACCCUAUCCUCAACUUGGCACGAGGGCCUCGUCAGUGAUAGAAGCGCAUCUCGUCGUGUCGCAAGAAUGGAUAUCGUUACAAGUACAUGUACUGAAAAGAAGAGAUAUAUAAAGAGUUGGCUUACACUCGCCACAAGCUACAUCAGAGUCACAUCAGUACAUUACAUAAUCAUCAAGAGUAAGAGCAGGGUCCGACUACGGACGAAAACAAACGANNNNNNNNNNNNNNNNNNNNNNNNNNNNNNNNNNNNNNNNNNNNNNNNNNNNNNNNNNNNNNNNNNNNNNNNNNNNNNNNNNNNNNNNNNNNNNNNNNNNNNNNNNNNNNNNNNNNNNNNNNNNNNNNNNNNNNNNNNNNNNNNNNNNNNNNNNNNNNNNNNNNNNNNNNNNNNNNNNNNNNNNNNNNNNNNNNNNACGGACGAAAACAAACGAGAAAAUAAGAACGACGUCCAUCCUUGCUAUCCCAGGCUGCCGGCCUGGAACCCAUCCUAGAUCGAUGACGAAGAAGAAGAAGAAGCAACUCCAAAUGAACAAUCAACGCGCUCACGUCAAGUAACCUUUACCUGUACCUGCAACUGGUGUUGUAGUAAUCUGUGAGCCACAGGGGACUCAGCAAUCUCAUUUCCAAAGGUAUCAAGACUAGCAAAGCUUAAAGGGUGAGGCAUGGUUAAGUGGUGAGGUUGCAGCAGCGGCUAAGCAUAUAAUUGGUGGCUAACUUACUAGUACAAGAAAUAAGAGGGGGAAGAUCUACGCAUAACAGAUGUGAACCACUGAUGAUAAAAUGAAUGAUCCUGAACACCUACCUACGUCAGACAUAACCCCACCGUGUCCUCGAUCGGAGAAGGAACUCACGAAAGAGAUAGUCACGGUUACGCACACAACUGACAUAUUUUAAUUAAGUUAAAUUCAAGUUAUCUAGAACCAGUGUUAAACAAAGCUUCCACGUUGCCACAUAACCGCGUGCACGGCUUUCCGAAAAGAUUUAACCCUGCAGGGGUGCUCCAACUAGUCCAUCACAAAUUACCACAAGCCGCAUAGAAAUCCUCAAUCACGAAGCUCGCGAUCUCGCCGGAUUCCCUAGUGGAAAAACCUCAACUCUGAGUUUACCCAAAGCAUCACCGGAAUCCCGAUGCACAAGAUAUCUCGUCAAAGGUAAAACUAAUCCAGCAAGGCCACCCGGUGUGUCGACGAACCCGAUAGGAGCCGCGUAUCUCGUUCUCAGGACACACCAUCUAUGCAAAGUGGACGGGAGCCAAACCUCGAGUUGCCCCAUGGUGGCACCGCCGACUGCUAGGUGGGUGGACCAACACUCAUGCGGAGCACUGGCCCGGGGGUUGAUUAAAUUUCCUCGGGUUAAUUACUCCCUAUGCAGUUCAUUAGUGAUUAGGCAAAUGUAGUACCAAAGUUGGGCCCUGCCAGACCAGCUUUAAUCUAAANUUUAACAUGUGGUAGGCAUCGAGACAUAAACGAUAGAAGCGAUAAAACUAGCAUGGCAAUGAUAGUAAUGGUAUCUGGGGAAAUGAUCAUCUUGCCUGAGAUCCCGCUUGGAAGAAGAACAACUCCGUGAAGUCGGCGAACCAACGUAGUCGAACGGGUCCUCACAUUCCGACACGCUUGCGGAACUCUGUCGAGACGGAGCAAACCGGAAACAUACAUCAACACAACUGUUCACCACAUGAUGCACAACAUGAUGCACAACCUAAUAUGAUGCAUGAUCAGUUCAAUGAUGCAAGGGAUGGCAUGGCAAUUCACCUCACGCAAAUACUACACAUUAAAUGAAGCUCGACAUGCAGCGGGUUGCAUAUCGACGAAACUCCACGUUUAAUUAUUAGUUCACUCCCGAUUAUUCACACGACAAUAUUAAAUGUUGUUAACAUGGCAAGGGGUGAGCGAUGAACCUACAUGACAACCUAGUCGACAACACGUCGGACUUAGAACGGAGCUACGACACAAGAACAUGCAACACAAGAUUAUAUGCCAUGAAUGCGUCAUGCAUGUGAGUUCAUAACACGGGCAAGAAGGGAAAGAAACAGGUAUCGCCACGACGAGCGAAAGGGGGACUAUGGUGGCAAGACGGACACGAUGCCACGACAACGCUCCUAUCCCGAUAACUCGUCGAGAUACCGUGCCAACGAAUAGGGAGCGCGUGCGGGAACGCUAAAUAAAGAUGGGGUGAUCCCGAUUACCGAGUUCCCAUGUGUCGGGGCACAACAUAAGAGGGACAACGUGCAACGGCCAACAUACGGUGCAACAUACAUACUUUCAUCCCAUACAACACAAGCAUUUGUUACACGACACGCCUCAUCGGUAUACCUUCGACGCAUGCGAUUCGAAGCGGAUCGGUUCGUAGCGGACAAUGUGGAAGUAGUCGUACACGGUCUCGUUGACGGUAGUCAUUCUCUUGCGCCGGUAGACGAUCUUCAGCGUCGGUAGUCGAACACGGGUCUUCGGCGACGUCGAGGAAGUCGAACUCGUUUCCAGGGUCGUCGAGGUCAUCGUGGUACUUGCGAUCUUGUCAACGACCCACGGCCGCGGGGAGGGUGCUCGUGGUCUUCGGCGACGGAAACCAGCGACACCACAGCAACACCGGCGACAGCAACUAUCAUCGGCACACUAUGGCAAGCAGGCAAGCUGGCAGCAACAUAUCGGCAGCGGCAUCAGCUACUAGCCUAGCAGCAAACGGCAAGAGCAGCAAAGCAAUACGACAGCUAAGCAACUACAUACAACAGCACAACUAGCUAGCAGGAGCAAAAACUACCUAGCAGCAACUAGCAAGCAAGCAACCUACAACUACUAGCAACCUAACAACAUGGCAAACAACACCUAAGCAACUAACCCUAGCUAAGCAGCAAGCAAGCAGCAAAGCAAGCAACUAUCUUGCAGCUAUAAGCAACAGCUACAGCAACACGCAAGGAGGCUACAGCUAGCAACUAGCAACCUAAUCAGCAACCAGAAAUAGGGAAGCGAAACGGCAGCAGGCAAAUAGAGCAACAACACGCAGCACCAGCAACCGCAACAGCUUCAGCAGCAAUUGCAAGAGCAGCAGGCUUGGCACAGCACAGCAACAGCAAACGGCCAGCAGCUAGCAAGCAGCGGCAUGCACGGCAAGAGCAAACGCAACAUCAGCUACAGCGAACAGCAAGCAACAGCCAGGCGAGCGGGAACAGCUCGGCACCAGCGCAGCAACACAGGGGGCUCGGGAGGCGAGCACGACGACGGGGAGGCGCGGGGCGCGGGGCGGCGCCGGCGGCCUGGAGGGAGCUUGGCGGGCAGGGAGCCACGACGGCUGCUGAGGCCGACCGAUGGUGAGGCUUGCGCGGGAGAGGGGCUCCGGCCGGGGCACAACAGCCUGCAACGGCGUGGCAUGGGGGCUCGCUCAUGUCGAGGGAGGCUGAGAGGCGAGCACGGCGGGGGCGGCGGGAGGACGAGGCCGCCGGCGGCGGAGCGACACGGCGGCGGCGCAACACGCGGAAGGGGCGAGGUCGAGGGCGGCUGGGAUGGGAGGCAGCGCGCGGCUCGGAUGGGAGGCCGACGAGGUGCAUCUCCUGCGACGGGCUGCAGCAGGCCAUGGCGCAUGCGGGGCGGAGCUGCUCGGGCGACGGGGCUGGGGGGAGAGGUGCUGCGAGGCAGGGGCAACCGGCGGCGCGGUGCAGGCAAGGCACGGGAGAACGAACUCGGGGACGAGGGGAUGAGCGCGCUAGGGCUGGGGAGGGAGCCGGCUGGGCCUGGGACGGCUCGGGAGGCUGGCUCUCUCCCCCAUAUGGUGUUUUUUUUACUUUUAAAAACAGAAAACUCAAACAAAAGAAAAGAAAAAAAAGGUUUUAACAAAAUAAAAAAAAUGCCUUUUGACUUCUUGAAAAUAAAAUAUAUACCCCAACUAUAAGGAUAGCUUGGGCAUUUUUAAAAGAAAUAAAAUAAAACCUUUGAAGAAUUAAAAUUAAAACAUUUUACGAAAUAAUAAUAUAAAACCCCUUUUUUUAUUUAAAGAAUAAAAUAAAGGCUCUAUAAAGAAGAAAAGAAAAUGAGACUGUUUUUAAAAUAAAACAAGAGGAGAAAUAAAAGAAAACCCAAGGGGUUACUCCCACAUUUAAUAAAAGGAACUUUUAUUUGAAAAGAAGAAGACGACCCCUUUUGAAAGAAGACAAUUUUUUAAAGGGGUUAAAACGAAACUUUAGCCAAACCACAAAACGAAAUAAGAGGGAAGAGGGGGAGCUACUAUCGCACUACGACUCGGUGAUCGCUCGAAGCACAACACUCAAAGCACCACACGUGACAGACCAUGCAAGAUGUCAUGCAUGAUGCGACGAUGCAAACUAAAUGACGAGGCACAAAUAAAACAAAUCACACGACGGAAGCGGAAAAGAAGGGAGAAUCUUCUGGGCGUCGGUCUCGGGCUGUCACACCCUCCUUCGCCCGCAUCCGGCGUGCUCUGUCGGAGCGCCCCGGCCUCCUUCGUCCUCGCCACGGUCGGUUCCAGAUCGACCCCUACCCCGCGUACGAGGAGCUCCUCCAGCUGCAGCGCCAUCUCAAGCAUGGAGCAGGAGCAGCAGCAUCCGGCACCCAUGGAAGCCGCGCCGCAGGUCCAUGCCAUGCCCGGUCUUCUCCUUCCUCUGUUUAUUUCCUCUCUUCUCUCCCUAAUCGCUCUCUCUCCAGGGAACCAGCUGCGCUAAGAACUCCUCCUUCCCCUACGCGCCUAGUCGCGUCCGCCCGCGCGAGCCCGCUGCUCUGCACCGGUGUAGCUCGCAGGAACGUCUCCUUCUGCAGCAAGCGAGCCCACCCCGAGCUACCUCAUGUGCCUCGUUCUGAGCCAUCCGUGCAUGAGCCCCGCAGCCCCACCGCCUCGUGCCCUCGCCGGAGGUCGGAAUCGGCGACCCCGGGCCGCCAGAAGCCGCUCCAGGCCAUAACCUCUCCCGUUCCCCUUGUUGGGGAACGUCGCAUGGGAAACAAAAAAUUUCCUACGCGCACGAAGACCUAUCAUGGUGAUGUCCAUCUACGAGAGGGGAUGAGUGAUCUACGUACCCUUGUAGAUCGUACAGCAGAAGCGUUAGUGAACGCGGUUGAUGUAGUGGAACGUCCUCACGUCCCUCGAUCCGCCCCGCGAACAAUCCCGCGAUCAGUCCCACGAUCUAGUACCGAACGGACGACACCUCCGCGUUCAGCACACGUACAGCUCGACGAUGAUCUCGGCCUUCUUGAUCCAGCAAGAGAGACGGAGAGGUAGAAGAGUUCUCCGGCAGCGUGACGGCGCUCCGGAGGUUGGUGAUGACCUUGUCUCAGCAGGGCUCCGCCCGAGCUCCGCAGAAACGCGAUCUAGAGGAAAAACCGUGGAGGUAUGUGGUCGGGCUCCCGUGGGAAAGUCGUCUCAAAUCAGCCCCAAUACCUCCGUAUAUAUAGGUGGGAGGGAGGGGACCUUGCCUUGGGGCUCAAGGAGCCCCAAGGGGGUCGGCCGAGUCCAAGGGGGGAAGGCUCCCCCCCAAACCGAGUUGGACUUGGUUUGGUGGGUGGGAGUCCUUCCCUUCCUUCCCACCUCCCUUUUUUUUCCUUUCUCUUUGAUUUUCCUUUGUAUGGCGCAUAGGGCCCUUUUGGGCUGUCCCACCAGCCCACUAAGGGCUGGUGCGCCACCCUUAUGGCCUAUGGGCUUCCCCGGGGUGGGUUGCCCCCCCCGGUGAACUCCCGGAACCCAUUCGUCAUUCCCGGUACAUUCCCGGUAACUCCGAAAACCUUCCGGUAAUCAAAUGAGGUCAUCCUAUAUAUCAAUCUUCGUUUCCGGACCAUUCCGGAAACCCUCGUGACGUCCGUGAUCUCAUCCGGGACUCCGAACAACAUUCGGUAACCAACCAUAUAACUCAAAUACGCAUAAAACAACGUCGAACCUUAAGUGUGCAGACCCUGCGGGUUCGAGAACUAUGUAGACAUGACCCGAGAGACUCCUCGGUCAAUAUCCAAUAGCGGGACCUGGAUGCCCAUAUUGGAUCCUACAUAUUCUACGAAGAUCUUAUCGUUUGAACCUCAGUGCCAAGGAUUCAUAUAAUCCCGUAUGUCAUUCCCUUUGUCCUUCGGUAUGUUACUUGCCCGAGAUUCGAUCGUCAGUAUCCGUAUACCUAUUUCAAUCUCGUUUACCGGCAAGUCUCUUUACUCAUUCCGUAAUACAAUAUCCCGCAACUUACACUAAGUCACAUUGCUUGCAAGCCUUGUGUGUGAUGUUGUAUUACCGAGUGGGCCCCGAGAUACCUCUCCGUCACACGGAGUGACAAAUCCCAGUCUUGAUCCAUACUAACUCAACUAACACCUUCGGAGAUACCUGUAGAGCAUCUUUAUAGUCACCCAGUUACAUUGCGACGUUUGAUACACACAAAGUAUUCCUCCGGUGUCAGUGAAUUAUAUGAUCUCAUGGUCAUAGGAACAAAUACUUGACACGCAGAAAACAGUAGCAAUAAAAUGACACGAUCAACAUGCUACGUCUAUUAGUUUGGGUCUAGUCCAUCACGUGAUUCUCCUAAUGACGUGAUCCAGUUAUCAAGCAACAACACUUUGUUCAUAAUCAGAAGACACUGACUAUCUUUGAUCAACUGGCUAGCCAACUAGAGGCUUGCUAGGGACGGUGUUUUGUCUAUGUAUCCACACAUGUAAAUGAGUCUUCAUUCAAUACAAUUAUAGCAUGGAUAAUAAACGAUUAUCUUGAUACAGGAAUUACAAUAAUAACAAUAUUUAUUAUUGCCUCUAGGGCAUAAUUCCAACACCCCUCUCCUUCCUGCUCUCCUUCCUCCUCUUGUUGAUCCCCUCUCUCUCUCUAAUCUUUUUCUUUGAACUUGUCUGAACCAGGAGCAACAGCCCUAGGGACGCCAUGGAUGGCCAUCACCAAUGGAUCUUGAGCCGCCGGAAGCUUCUCCAGGCCUAGAAACGGGACCCCCUCUACCGGAUCCGCCCAUCCCGCUGACGCCCCGCCGAAGCCAGCGGCCAACCCGCAACCGCCCCGACCUGCAUCCCCGUUCUGGCAGACAGAACAUAUCUGUCUUUGUUUUCAGUUUCGUCAGUUAGCGCCUGGUAUGAUUUAAGAAGAGCAAGGAUCCUUUUCUUAUCAUAGUGCUAGCGUAGCCCAGCUGGUUAGCUCCUUGGUCUGCAGCAAGGAGGUCUUUGGUUCGAAACCCCACGGCUGCACAUUCUUUUUAUGCAUUUUCUCCUUCGAGGAUGAGCUGAUGCGCAGUUUCAUUUAGGUAGAAGCCCAGUUAUGUCGCGUGUAAGUAGCCAGCUGAGCUGGUUAGCGGCACGCCUUAUAUCCAUGAGGUCAUGGAUCAAAUCCCAUCUGCCCAUAUUAUUUUCAUUUUUUUUAGUUGUACUAUGUUUUAGAACGUCCGUACCUGUUAAACCGUGCCUCGGAUUAAAAUGAUUUCAAGAUGUAAGUUGCUUAGAAUUUUCUGUAGUUUCACAAAAACCAACUCUCAUGCAUAAUUAGAUCUGUUUAGUGUGCUGCUUACCCCAUUUUGCGUGUCGACGUGUUAAACGGUUUAGCCCAUAGUUUUUAAACCGUAGCUCCGUUGGAGAUGUGCCACAGAUGUAAAUGGGCUAGAACGACGUGUAGAAUCACAUGCACCACUUUGUUUUGCCAUUUAACAAACCUAAAAUAUGAUUAGGACAAAUCUGGACAGAAUUAAGAUUUAACACGUGGGGUCAUUUCGGAGAUGCUAUAUGUCGUUUCUGGUCUCAUUUAAAAUGCCUAGCUAGGUAGAUUAAUUUGUGAUUCACCCCUUGCCAUGUUAACAACCUUUUAAUAUAGCCGUGUACCUGAACGGGAGUGAACUAAAUAAUUAGACGUGGAGUUUCGUCGAUAUGCAACUCGUUGCAUAUCGAGCUUCACUUAAUGUGUAGUGUUUGAUUGUUGUGAUUGGCAUGCCUUGCAUUAGACCGUUCAUGCAUCAUUUAUGUUGUGCAUCGUGUGGUGUAUAUCAUGUGUUGAUGCUUGUUCCGGUUUUCCCCGUCUCGAUAGAGUUCCGCAAGCGUGUCGGAAGUGAGGACCGUUCGACUACAUCGGUUCGUCUGCUUCACGGAGUCAUUCUUCUUCCAAGCGGGAUCUCAGGCAAGAUGACCAUUUCCCCAGAUACCAUUACUAUCAUUGCCACGCUAGUUUUACCGUUUCUAACGUUUAUGUCUCGUUACCUACCACUUGUUAAAUAUCAGCCUCUCAACAAUGCCACUUCAAUCUGUUCGACCUAGCAAACCACUGAUUGGCUAUGUUACCGCUUGCUUAACCCUGUGUUAGCGUUGCUAGUUGCAGGUGCAGAUGCUUCCAUGUGAAAACAUGGGUUCUUUGUUAUAUCACCAUAUUAAAUGCUAUUAAAUUUAAUGCAUCUAUAUACUUGGUAAAAGGUGGAAGGCUCGGCCUUUCUAGCCUAGUGUUUUGUUCCACCUUUGCCUCCUUAGUUUCCGGCUACCGGUGUUAUGUUCCAUAAUUGAGCGCUCCUAACAAAAUCGGGGUUGUUAUGGGGACCCCCUUGAUAAUUCGUUUUAGAUUAAAGCUGGUCUGGCAAGGCCCAACUUUGGUACUACAUUUGCCUAAUCACCUAAUAAAUUGCAUAGGGACUUUCCGGACCCCGAGGAUAAUUUAAUCAACCCCCGGGCCAGUGCUCCGCAUGAGAGUUGGUCCACCCACCCAGCAGUCGGCGGUGCCACCUCGGGGCAACUCGAGGUUUGGCUACCGUCCACUAUGCAUAGACGGUGUGUCCUAAGAACGAGAUACGCGGCUCCUAUCGCGUUCGUCGACACACCGGGUGGCCUUGCUGGAUUAGUUUUACCUUUGACGAGAUAUCUUGUGCAUCGGGAUUCCGGUGAUGCUUUGGGUAAUCUCAGAGUGGAGGUUUUCCACUAGGGAAUCCGACGAGAUCGCGAGCUUCGUGAUUGAGGGUUUCUAUGCGGCUUGUGGUAAUUUGUGAUGGACUAGUUGGAGCACCCCUGCAGGGUUAAAUCUUUUCGGAAAGCCGUGCCCGCGGUUAUGUGGCAACGUGGAAACUUUGUUUAACACUGGUUCUAGAUAACUUGAAGUUAAUUAAUUAAAAACAUGCCUACUGUGUGCGUAACCGUGACUGUCUCUUUCGUGAGUUCCUUCUCCGAUCGAGGACAUGGUGAGGUUAUGUCUGACGUAGGUAGGUGUUCAGGAUCAUUCAUUUGAUCAACAGUAGUCCACGUCCGCUAUGCGUAGAUCUUCCCCCUCUUAUUUCUGGUACUCGUAAGUUUAGCCACCAAAUAUAUGCUUAGCCGCUGCUGCAACCUCACCACUUAACCAUGCCUCGCCCAUUAAGCUUUGCUAGUCUUGAUACCUUUGGAAAUGAGAUUGCCGAGUCCUCUCUGGCUCAUAGAUUACUAAAACACCAGUUGCAGGUACAGGUAAAGGUUACUUGACGCGAGCGCAUUGAUUGUACAUUUGGAGUUGCUUCUUCUUAUUCUUCUUCAUCGAUCAAGGAUGGGUUCCAGGCCGGCAGCCUGGGAUAACAAGGAUGGACGUCGUUCUUCUUUUGUCGUUUGUUUUCAUCCGUAGUCGGACCCUGCUCUUACUCUUGAUGAUUAUGUAAUGUACUGAUGUGACUCUGAUGUAGCUUGUGGCGAGUGUAAGCCAACUCUUUAUAUAUCUCUUCUUUUCAGUACAUGUACUUGUAACGAUAUCCAUUCUUGCGACACGACGAGAUGCGCUUCUAUCCCUGACGAGGCCCUCGUGCCAAAUUGAGGAUAGGGUUGCAUCUUGGGCGUGACAUGGCGGGAGCGAACCGAACGUCCCUCCACUUCUUGCACGACUUGAUCCUAGAGAACACAUGAAGAAACUUGAACUCUUGGUCCUCGUUGUAUUGACGGUACAUGAUAAACAUCCGAACCAUCUGCACAACCACGGACAAAACGUGUCGGCAAAGUACACGGUGACGUGACGAACUGGGGACGGCGAACUAUGUCCAUACCCGACCCUCGAUGUUGGCACCGCUUUCCGGGCAAGCAGCGACCUCCCCAUGCCACUUGUGGCAGGCCGGCUAGAUUGUCGCCACGGUCCAUCUGGAUAUUGCCGAAGUCAAGGUCGAUCAGCUUGCGUUCGUCGAACGCCGUCUUGUGUUGGAAAUAUGCCCUAGAGGCAAUGACAAAAUAGUUAUUAUUAUAUUUCCUGUUACAAGAUAAUCAUUUAUUAUUCAUGCUAUAAUUGUAUUGAAUGAAAACAUAGAUACAUGUAUGGAUACAUAGACAAAACAAUGUCCCUAGCAAGCCUCUAAUUGGCUAGCCAGUUGAUCAAUGAUAGUCAAGGUUUUCUCACUAUAUGCAAGUGUUGUCACUUGAUAUCUGGAUCACAUCAUUAGGAGAAUCAUGUGAUGGACUAGACCCAAACUAUGAACGUAGCAUAUUGAUCGUGUCAUUUUAUUGCUAUUGUUUUCUGCGUGUCAAAUAUUUAUUCCUAUGACCAUGAGAUCAUAUAACUCAGUGGCACCGGAGGAAUACCUUGUGUGUAUCAAACGUCGCAAAGUAACUGAGUGACUAUAAAGGUGCUCUACAGGUAUCUCCGAAGGUGUCCGUUGAGUUAGUAUGGAUCAAGACUGGGAUUUGUCACUCCGUGUGACGGAGAGGUAUCUCGGGGCCCACUUGGUAAUACAACAUCACACACAAGCCUUGCAAGCAAAGUGACUAAGUGUAAGUCACGGGAUCUUAUAUUACAGAACGAGUAAAGAGACUUGCCGGUAACGAGAUUGAAAUAGGUAUGCGGAUACCGACGAUCGAAUCUCGGGCAAGUAACAUACCGAAGGACAAAGGAAAUGACAUACGAGAUUAUAUGAAUCCUUGACACUGAUGUUCAACCGAUAAGAUAUUCGGAGAAUAUGUAGGAUCCAAUAUGGGCAUCCAGGUCCCGCUAUUGGAUGUUGACCGAGGAGUAUCUCCGGUCAUGUCUACAUAGUUCUCGAUGUUGGAAUUAUGCCCUAGAGGCAAUAAUAAAUGUAUAGUUAUUAUUAUAAUUCCUGUAUCAAGAUAAUAGUUUAUUAUCCAUGCUAUAAUUGUAUUGAAUGAAGACUCAUUUACAUGUGUGGAUACAUAGACAAAACACCGUCCCUAGCAUGCCUCUAGUUGGCUAGCCAGUUGAUCGAUGAUAGUCAGUGUCUUCUGAUUAUGAACAAGGUGUUGUUGCUUGAUAACUGGAUCACGUCAUUGGGAGAAUCACGUGAUGGACUAGACCCAAACUAAUAGACGUAGCAUGUUGAUCGUGUCAUUUUGUUGCUACUGUUUUCUGCGUGUCAAGUAUUUAUUCCUAUGACCAUGAGAUCAUAUAGCUCACUGACACCGGAGGAAUGCUUUGUGUGUAUCAAACGUCGCAACGUAACUGGGUGACUAUAAAGAUGCUCUACAGGUAUCUCCGAAGGUGUUAGUUGAGUUAGUAUGGAUCGAGACUGGGAUUUGUCACUCCGUGUGACGGAGAGGUAUCUCGGGGCCCACUCGGUAAUACAACAUCACACACAAGCCUUGCAAGCAAUGUAACUUAGUGUAAGUUGCGGGAUCUUGUAUUACGGAACGAGUAAAGAGACUUGCCGGUAAACGAGAUUGAAAUAGGUAUGCGGAUACUGACGAUCGAAUCUCGGGCAAGUAACAUACCGAAGGACAAAGGGAAUGACAUACGGGAUUAUACGAAUCCUUGGCACUGAGGUUCAAACGAUAAGAUCUUCGUAGAAUAUGUAGGAUCCAAUAUGGGCAUCCAGGUCCCGCUGUUGGAUAUUGACCGAGGAGUCUCUCGGGUCAUGUCUACAUAGUUCUCGAACCCGCAGGGUCUGCACACUUAAGGUUCGACGUUGUUUUAUGCGUAUUUGAGUUAUAUGGUUGGUUACCGAAUGUUGUUCGGAGUCCCGGAUGAGAUCACGGACGUCACGAGGGUUUCCGGAAUGGUCCGGAAACGAAGAUUGAUAUAUAGGAUGACUUCAUUUGAUUACCGGAAGGUUUUCGGAGUUACCGGGAAUGUACCGGGAAUGACGAAUGGGUUCCGGGGGUUCACCGGAGGGGGGCAACCCACUCCGGGGAAGCCCAUAGGUAUUUGGGGGGGUCACACCAGCCCUUAGUGGGCUGGUGGGACAGCCCACCAAAUCCUAUGCGCCAAGGAAGAGAAAAUAUCAAAGGAAAGAAAAAAAAGGGGAGAAGUGGGGAGGGGGAAGGACUCCCUCCCACCAAACCAAGUAGGACUCGGUUUGGGGGGGGAGAGUCCUCCCCCCUGGCUCGGCCGACCCCUUGGGGAUCCCUUGGACCCCAAGGCAAGGUCCCCCUCCCUCCUCCUAUAUAUAUGGGGCUUUUAGGGCAGAUUUGGGACGACUUUCUCACGGCUGCCCGACCACAUACCUCCAUAGUUUUUCCUCUAGAUCGUGUUUCUGCGGAGCUCGGGCGGAGCCCUGCUGAGACAAGAUCAUCACCAACCUCCGGAGCGCCGUCACGCUGCCGGAGAACUCUUCUACCUCUCCGUCUCUCUUGCUGGAUCAAGAAGGCUGAGAUCAUCGUCGAGCUGUACGUGUGCUGAACGUGGAGGUGCCGUCCGUUCGGUACUAGAUCGUGGGACUGAUCGCGGGAUUGUUCGCGGGGCGGAUCGAGGGACGUGAGGACGUUCCACUACAUCAACCGCGAUCUCUAAUCGCUUCUGCUGUACGAUCUACAAGGGUACAUAGAUCACUCAUCCCCUCUCGUAGAUGGACAUCACCAUGAUAGGUCUUCGUGCGCGUAGGAAAAUUUUUGUUUCCCAUGCGACGUUCCCCAACACUCGAACCCGCAGGGUCUUCACACUUAAGGUUCGAUGAUGUUUUAGUAUAGUUGAGUUAAAUGUGUGGUUACCGAAUGUUGUUCGGAGUCCCGGAUCAGAUCACGGACGUCACGAGGGUUUUCAGAAUGGUCCAAAAACGAAGAUUGAUAUAUAGGAUGGUUUCAUUUGGUCACCGAAAAGUUUCGGGCAUUACCGGCAGUGUACCGGGAGUGACGAAUGGGUUCCGGGUGUUUACCGGGAGGGGCCCACCCACUCGGGAGUGAGCCCAUGGCCUUAGGGUGGCACACCAAGUCCUUAGUGGGCUGGUGGAGUCAUCCCAAGAGGGCUAUGGCGCCACAAGAAAAAAACACCAAAGGAAAUGAAAAAAAAGGAAAGAGGGAGGUGGGAAGGAAGAGGAGGACUCCUUCCCAAACCGAAUUGGAGGAGGAGUCCUCCUCCACCCCUUCGGCCGGCGCACCCUUGGGGCUCUUGUGCCCCAAGGCUAGCCCCUCCCCUUUUUCUAUAUAUAUUGGUGGUUUAGGGGUUUUUGAGACACAACUUUGCCACGUGCAAUUCUAGCCUAUUCCACAUAGUUUUACCUCUAGAUCGGAUUUCUACGGAGCUCGUGGCAGGAGUAGAUCAUCACCACCACCGGAGCGCCGUCACGCUACCGGAGAACUCAUCUACUUCUCCGUCUUUCUUGCUGGAUCAAGAAGGCCGAGAUCGUCAUCGAGCUGUACAUGUGCUGAACGUGGAUGUGUCGUCCGUUCGGCGCUAGAUGGGAACCGUUCGUGGGAGAGAUCGUGCGACGACGGUGAUUUGAAUCACGAAGCUGUACCACUAUAUCAACCGCGUUUCUUAACGCUUCUCGCUUAGCGAUCUACAAGGGUACAUAGAUCUAAUCUCCUCUCGUAGAUGGACAUCACCAUGAUAGGUCUUCGUGUGCGUAGGAUUUUUUUUUGUUUCCCAUGCAACGUUCCCCAACAUCUUGAUUACCCUCCACUAUGUGUCGGUGUUCUGAUUCACGCCGAUAAUCGGGUCGAUGCUGACGGUCUUCCAGGUUUCGGCAAGGCACUCGACUUCCUUGGACGUCUACUUGACGCGGGGUUCACCCGUCCUAGCGUUCGACGCCCGCUUAUUUUUUCUCGUUUUCGGCGUUGGUUCCGGUUCCGCUUCCACCUACUCUUCCCCCUCCUCCUCCUCGGCGUUGCCGAGCUCGUCGUCCAUGUCAACGGCGGUGUCCGUCGCUUCAUCUUGCACGCCGAACCCUGGGAAGGACGUGGCGGCGACGAAGCCGCUCGUGAUGAUCUCGUCCAUGUCGGCGUCGAUGUGGCUAAACUAUGGCGCCGAGCCACGUACAAAGGGUAGGGCACCCCAACACAGAGGCGGCGCAGACGAGGCUCAUGAGUACGCCAGCGGCAAGUAGUUGUACCGGGUGUUGAGACCGGCGUUGAACACGGGGGAGGGAGUGCGCGGGCCGGGGUUGAAGCCGGAGGGGGAGGAACGCUGCGGCGCGCCAUGUGGGAAGGUGAUGUUGGGGUUGAAACAGUCAUGCACGUCGCCGUCGGAGUAGCCAGGCGCGGGUGCGUACCCCGAGGAUGGCGGCAACGGCGGUGAGAAGUUGGCCGGCGACGCGACGCUCUGCUGACUCCCCCAUGCAGCCCGCUCGUAGUGGCCGGGCGGAUUCAUCAUCCCCGCGCAAGGCGCCUCUCCCUGCUUGGCCACCGCUGUCGCCGUUGCCGCCGCGUCCCUGGCCUUCUUGGCGAUGAGCCUGCUCCGCUUGUUGGUUGUGACCGCCUCCCAGCGCUGGACAUCUGCAUUCCACAUGGCGUUCGAAACGGCCGACGGUGUUCCAACGGCUUCCUCGACUUCAACUGGGUGGAAUCGGCAACAGGGCGAGGGGCGGAAUACCUCUUCGGUGGCAUGGCGACCGGAUGGCGGGAGCGAAAGCGGAGAAGGAGAAGCAAUGAGGAAAAUUGAGGGAAAGGGGGAGAAAACGUCGGAAUUAUGCUUGUGUGUUGCCGACAACGCUGGCCCGCGUGCCUUUUCGCUUCGACCGGCACCCCCGACGACCCUCGGGGGGCUUGGUUUGGCUCGGGUUCGUCGGUUGUUAUUUCGAUCCAAACCAACGAUAAACGAGGCGUUGAAGACACGACUGGUUUGAUUUUUCACUAUCAAUAUUAAAAAAUACGUCCUAGGAAUCUGUUGGAGGACGAACGGAGAUGCUCUAAAGCAAAAAUGCUAGACGUACGAGGUUUUAGAUUCUUCUACAUGCUACUUCCUAACCAACUAAUCAUGCACCCCCUGAUUUUUAGGUGGGUGGGGCCCCUUACUUCCUUAGUCCAAUCGUAAUUUGCUAGCUUUAACUCAUCUCGUAAAAAGCAUGUAACAACAUCUCUAACAGACCUCGUAUAAGUGAUCAAAUCCGUAAAAAAAAUUACGUUUUACACUUCUGGUCGCAAAAAGCGUGCAUAACAGAAACAGUAAAAGUGGUCCAACCCAUAAAUUUUUUAAGGGGCACACUAAAGCCACACUUGAAACCCUUAUUUUUGAAGGUUGGAAGGCCGAUUCUAAGCGCCCCGUAUACCGGUCAAACCUCGCCCGAGCAAACACGUCGCCGCGGAGUUUGCCGGAAUUUGCCCUAAACUUGUCGGAAUUCAUCAGCGCACGCCGGAAAAGGUCGCUGGACACCGCAAUCGAUCGUCGCCGGUUUGAAUUGGACGAGCUCGACCUCUUCAUGAACUCCCGUGACCUCAGCCUAACCACCAGAAUCCUCUCAACACGGCAGGCAAAGGAACACGGCUCGACCGGGGGACGGGCCGCGGCCGACGGGCAAAGGGGCGAGUUCGACGUGGUUGGAUUUCGGCCGCCCACCCGUCCCCGCAAAGCGUAGUUAUGCCUUGCCUAACCCGCGUCCAUGCCAGCGCGGCGAAAGCGCUCGGGAAAGCCGCGUCCGGUAAGGAACCGGUUGGCGCCAGGCCGGCUCCGCCUCCCCCUCCCCCACCGCCUCCGCGCCGGCUACAAAAGGCGCCGAGGUGCGCCCCCUCCACCCCGCGCUCCGGCCUCCCNCCCCCCCCCCUCUCUCUCUCUCUCUGUGGAGCCUUUGUUCCGGCCGCGCCUCCGCCCUCGAUCGAUCGUCUCCUCGCGUCUCCGCCACCGUUUCCUCCCCCUCGUCCAUCAAACCUCGAUUCGUUUUCGAAUCGCGCUUGAUUUUGCCAUCGCUUCUGCCUCCGGUGCCCGCGGUCGCAGGGGAUUCGGCCCGUCUCGUCCGCCUCCGUGCGACUCCGGGGAGCGAUCGGUGGUGGGUUCCAUCGAGCCGUUUGGUUUUGCUUCUGCGUCUGGUUCCGGGUGAUCCGAGGGUGGGCCGAAGCAAGGUCAGUUUCUCGCGUUCGAUCAGAUCGGUCGUCAUCUACCAGCGUUCGUCGGUGAUUUCAAGAUUUGAUGAAUUGAUUGAAUUGAGCGUCCGUCGCCCGUGCGGCCUUCCGGUUCCUUGUUCCCGAUACCGAGCGCUCUCGUCACGAGUUCCGCCGUCGUCAUCGGUUAAUACGAGGUGGAUUCGUGGCCCUCGUGGAUUCUUGCAGUACCGGCUGAUCUAGUUUGCUUUUGGCCUUCUGGAGGUUUGAUUUAUGUUCAUGGUUGUUUUGAUUGAUUGGUUAUUACAGUCCAGCGGUUAUUCUGAUAUGGUCAGGUCUUCUCGGAUGAGCAAGCUUUUCAAUCUCUUAUUAGUUAUUAUACCAACCUACCUAGGCUGGAACGCCCGAUCUGCGUUUGGAUAAUAAUAUCAAGGAAUCCCUCCUAAUUUAGUUUCUUGGUUUGCACCGUACAGUUUAUUAGUCUACUGCAGUACAAUUCUGAUUUGUAUAUUUUGCUGGUUGUCCAGAAAUUGGGAUUACAGGGCCUAAUGGGAGCCAUUCAUCCUAUUGCUGACCUCGAUGAUUACUCUCUGUUUAAUUUGUUCUCCACAAUUCAAUUAGUCUCCCAACAACUCUGAUUUUCAUUCGUUGCUGGCUCUCCGGGAACUGGAAUUAAGUAGGCUAGCAGGUGGCUCGGCAUGGCGUUUCUUCUUAUGGGGUUCAACUUUCUGGAUCUUUCUUAUGGAAAUAAUUAUAACUCAGAAGACAGUAGUUUCCCCUGCCUUAGUCAUGCUCAGCUCUUGCAGAUAGUAUCUUGCAAGGGAUAUAAUUGGAACUUGUGUUGCCUACCUGACCUUCCUAGUCGAGACAGGGUUACUUUAUUUUAUCUUCAACUCAUUGUUUAAUCAAGUUUUCUCCCUAACCGAAACAUUUAUUUGUAGAAAGGUAUCUUGCUCGCUGCAGGUCGUAGUUCACGGACUCAAGGCCACCAUCCUGAUGCUGAGUUUGCAGUUCUUCUAAAUCUAUCUUCUCAAUUCCUUAACUUUAGAUAAUAAUACGAAGAGUUCUUACUAGGCAAUAUUACAAAUUCAUAUUUAGCUGCAAAGGUGCAAGAAUGAAGCUUCAAACUAGUGGCACAUCCUACAACCGGAAAAAAAACUUAAUCAUUAUCCCUCUUAUUUUUAUUUAAUUCAGCUACAUGUUCAUGUCUUUGAUUUUGUUUUUUGCUUGUGCCCUCCAUGUCGUUGCAGAUUUGUUUUGGCCUAGGACAAUGCUGGAAGUGAGUCUGAAUCUGUUAAAAUCGUCUAGUUUGCCAUCUAUUUCUUUGUGGUUUGAUUAGUUAUCUGUACUGCGUUGGUCUUCCUGCGCAUUGCUAUCUGAUAUAUUUAGGAAAUUUGUGCCCACAGGCAAACCUGUACCUAAAACGUGUCACAGUGUCAGGUCAGUGUCUUGGCUGUUGGUUCAUUUCUGAUGGCUUCCAUGGGUUGGUUGCAAGACUGGGCCAGGUAUGAGGAUAUCCUUGUAUGUCUAAGGGAAUUUGAGGCAGGUCAGAUUUGAAUGGCUAUCGCUCAUGUGGUCUUCUGGUUCUCAUCACGAGUUCCAUCAUCAUCAGCUAAUAAGAGGUGGAUUCAAGGUCCUGGUGGAUUCUUAUUGUGUAGCAGCUGAUCUCGCUUUUGGUGUGUGUUUGUGCUCCUUUAGAUGCAGCAGAAGCAAGAGGGUAGUGGUUCCACAGUGAUGAGUCAAAGGGUGGAGGUUUGGUUUCUGAUAUAUAAAUGGUCAGGUCUUUCAGGAGGACAAUGUUUUGGUGUUCAACUGAAGUUUUGGAUCGCUCAUCUACCUGGAACUUGUGAUCCGUGUUUGGAUGAUCUCAAAUUCUUGAUCCCUCUGACUUAACUUUUUCAUUUGCAAAAUUCAAUAAUUUACUCUCCAGAGGUUCUGAUUUGGAUUAUCAUUGGUGGAUCUCCAGAAAUUUGGAUUUGGCUUAGCGGCGGGGGUGACUUGUCUUCUUCUUCCUGAUCUGCUUUGGAUGAAUCAUUACUUCCUCCAUUUCAUUUAUUUCUCUCCACAGCUCACCUUAUGUCUACGACAAUUCUGAUUUACAUUUGUUGGUGGUUCUUCAGAAAUUGGGGUUAUACGGCUUAGCGGGGAGCACCUAUCGUCUUGGUGAUCUGCGUUGGAUGAUCAUUACCUUUCUCAGUUUAGUUUCUUCUUCUCCAGAGUUCAGUUAGUCUCCCAACAAUUCUGAUUGUGAUCUGUUGAUGGUUGUUCAGAAAUUGGAAUUACACGGCCUAGAUGGUGGUCCUAUUUUGCCUCGGCAUGAUGGUUCUUUUUCUGUUCCUUGACUUUCCUGACCUUUCUUAUUCAAUAUAAUUGAACUCUCCAGAUGUAUUGUCUCUGCCCUUAGUCAGUAAUUCUCAGCUCUUGCAGAUACUGGCUUCGAUAAUUGCAGUUUGGAACCGGUGUGCUAACCCGUCAUCCCUACCCCCAACUGAGACAUGCUUACUUAAUCUUUACAUCCUCAUCGUUUGAUGCAUGCUUUGGCUGAGCCUAGUUUUUCCUAACUUAUACUCCCCCCGUUCCUAAAUAUCCUUUUAGAUGUUUCACUAGAAGACUACAUACGGAUGUAUUUAGACAUACUUUAGAGUGUAGAUUCACUCAUUUUGCUCCGUAUGUGGUCUCCUAGUGAAAUCUCUAAAAAGACUUAUAUUUAGGAACGGAGGGAGUAGAAAGGUAUCUUCCUGGUGCAGGUUGUAGUUGACGAAUUCAAGUCCAACCUGGUGCUGAGAUGCAGUAUUUCUAAAUCUACCAUUUUGUCAACUCAUCAUAACUUAGACAACCUUUAAAGUUAUCUCCCUUUGUUUUAGUUUCUCCGCUGUUUUGUUUUGGUUCCCCAAAAUUCUGAUUUAAACUACUUCUUGGUGGCUUCCAGAAAUUGACUUGGAAAGGAUAUACCUGCAGUUUGGAACUGGUGUUGUUGUCAUUCGUCAACCAUAGCUGAACUUGCUAUCCAAAACAGGCUUACUUGUUCCCGUCCAUCAUUUGAUCCAUACAUUAGCUAUUUAUAAGUAACAUUUUCCCCUAUCUGAAAAUUUAUAGGAAGCUCCCUUGCUUGUUGCAGGUUGUAGUUGCCAAACUCAAGCUUUCAAAUGAAAAUUUCCCCUUAACUGAAAAUUUUCCUCUGAUGAAUCUGUUUGCAGAUCUUCUAAAUCUACUUUCAAUUCAUUCAGAUUAUCUUACUAGGCAAUAUAUUCUAAAUACAGAUUCAUAUACAGAGGUUCAUGAAUCCAAGGAUAAUCCGAAGCUUUCAACUAAUGGCACAUCCUACAACCAAAAAAAACUCUUGCCAUCCCUUUUUUAAUUUCAUUUAGCUACUCAGCCAUGUCUUUGAUAUAGGUUUUUGCUCCUGCUCUUCCUGUGGUUGCAGAUUUUUCUUUAGCCCAGGCCAUGUGGGUAAUGAUGCGGAAUCUGUUAAAUAUUUUGGUUUGCAAUCUAGCUCUCCGUUGUUCGAUUUGUUGUCUGUUAACUCUUGAUCCCUGUAUUCUAUUGGUCUUCUACAAGUGUGGGUUGCAGGAUAUAAUUGUUAGGAGUUUGUACCAAAUCUGUACUCUGUACAUGGAGUCAGGUCAGUGUCUUGUAGAUGGUCUGUUUGUUUCAUUUGCUAUUGCCGCCUCCAUGAGUUGCCUUGCAGGACUGGAUGUGGAUCUGAAUCUGGUUUGGACAUGAAGCUCCCUAUGGUCAGUUUCCCAUGUUUGGUCACAUUGGUUUACUGGAUCCCUCAUCUGUGCUCGGUGACAAAAGAUUUGAGUGGCUAUACCUUAAAUUCUUCGAUAUGUCUUAUACUAUAAUGGUUCGUCAGUAUUAGUGUCCCUUGAUAUGAGGUGGAUUCUCGUUUGUUCUCGUUGUAAAAGCUGAUCUCGCUUAUGGUAUGUGUUUGUGCUCCUUGAGAUGCAGGAUGUUGUGGAGUGAUGAAUGAAAGGAUCGAGGUUUGCUUUGCUGUUCGUGGUUAUUUUGAUUAGUUAUGGCUCAAUGGAUGGUUAUAAGCUAGGAUCUUGUGCGCUGAAGUAUUCGUUCUGGAUUGAGGCUGUGGAUUGGAUAGUUAACCAUGGGAUGGGGAUCAGAGAAUUUCUGAACAGUGUUUAUAAUCGAUCCUCCUCGAUUUAGUUUCUUUGCUUGCACAGUCAAAUUUAGCUUACAACAUCUCUGAUAUGGAUUGUUCUCCAGCUAUUGGACUUAUGGGGGCUUUCCGGAAGGUGCCCUGCAUGUUACAGACGGUUUCUUCUGUUGACUUCAAUCUUUCCAGAUUUGCUUUGAACAUUGUCCUUCCUAUAGUUUUCUCUGCCCUUGGUAACUAUGUGACCUUGCAGAUAUUGACAUGGAUGAGAGAAUUUAGUUUGCUAUUUGGUACUGGGGUUGUUGCCUAACUGAUCUCUCCCAGACAAGCAGGCUUAUCCUAUCACCUCAAUGUUUUGAUGCAUUAUAUAGCUGUUUUAAGUAGUUUCGUCUCCCCAAAGCAAAAAAUCAUGGGAAGGUCUCUUGGUCGUUGCAGGUCCUAAUUGACUAUUUAGGUCCAACCUGGUGCGGAGUUAUCUGUUUGAAGAUCUUCUAAACCCUACACCUUUCCAAUUCAUUGCGAUUUGUUCAACAUAUAAAUUAUCUUAUGGAGACAAUUUGAACAUUCAGACUGAUUUGGUGGAUGUGUAAGAUUAAGGUUUCUCUAGGGCUUUAGUCUAGAUGGGACCUACACCGGCAAAAUUCAGUGCUCUCUACAACCGAAAAGUUAUCUUAAGAUGGUUAUCUCCUGAAGAAACUUCUGUUCUCUUGGUUGCCUUUUGCUUGUAGGCUGUAGCAUUGAUUGUAUUUUUUCCUCCUGCCUUCCUGUGAUUGCAGCCAUGAUGGUAGCCAUUCAAAAUAUGUUACCUUUUUGGUUUAUGAUCCUCUCUAUGGUUUACUUUGUUAUAUCUGUACUCCACAUCCAUGUGCUUCUGUUGGUCUGUUGGCCUGGUGGGCUUGUUCUUUGCAGUAUAUGAUGGAAUUAGUGGGUGUGCCCUGUAGAGUCAUCUCAGUGUCUGCUCUGCUCUGAAUGCAAAAGUUAGCUUUGUUCCUCUUUUCUCCAAUCUCCAAUGGCUAAUCAACGAUCCUGUCUGUCACGUAAUACAAGGUGAAUUUUAUCUCGUUUAUGUAUGCGCCUUUGUUCCUUUAGAUUCAAGACAGUGGAGAUCGUAUUGAAGGGUAGAGGUUUGAGUGAUUCAUGGUUGUUAUUUAGCUCUUCGGAUGAUAUCUUAAGUUUGGGAUAGUAAUUAUUGGUCAUGCCUGCAUGGUUGAGGAUUCAUAAGUGUCUUGAGGCAUGACUGGAGUAUUUGGAUAUAUUCUCCUCCUGUUUGAUUUCUCCAUGUGAGAAUUUGGUUCCUGUUCUGAGUAUUACUUGGAUUUUUGGUUGUUCUCCAGCAUUUGAGCGUAGGCUUGCCCUGACUACUUCCUGAUUUGAUCUUGUCCAACUUCUCUCUGUUAACUUAUAGCAUUCCAAACAUGUUCUUUCUUGUCAGUAGCUUUUAGUUCCAUGCGAAUGUGGCAUGCAGUGAGAAUAAUUCAAACCAAUGUGCAUAUAACUUAACUAAACCAGGCUUAUCCCCAUCUCCUUGCUAGUUUUGAUGUUUCAGUUUUCUCCAAAAUGGUUACGCAUCAUGUCUUCUGUUCGUUGCUGCGUGAAGAGGUUUUAUUGGAAGCUUGUAGAGUUGGAAAAUCUAGCACUACGUCAGUUGAUGCGGGGACUUGGUCAAGCUAAUGGAUUGUCUGCUUCCUGGCAGUUUGACUUCUGAUAAUCUUGAUCUUGAGACAUGGUUUGGUCUUUGUGGCAGCUUUCAGUUUGAACUUGCAUUCAGUGGUAGUUUGGAGUUAGUAGUGUGCGCAUCUCAUUUUCCAACCGUCCUGAAGCAUCUUACUUGGUUUCUGCUUCAACUUGCAUGUGGUUUGGACAGAAUAUGAUCUCAUCUUUUGCUCCGAAUCAACAAAAUGCUAGAAGUAAUGAUGUCCUAACUGGAAAUUCCUUCAUUAGUCUCAAACAAGGGUUCAACAAUGGAAAUAUCAGUUCAUACUAAUUACUACUUGGUUGCCGUACUGUUUCUGGAAGUUGGGUUUUAAUAUUAGGCUGCUAUCUAUAAUUUUAUCUCUAGCGUCUUGCAGAUUUAUUACCUAAUACAUGUAUAUGAGCUCUGAAUGCAGUAAAAGACUUGUCGGGCUACUAUUCUACAUAUUCUUGUCCACACUUGGUUUGUUUAUUUAACUAUUUUCCUGGCGAGUUCUUUUGGAUCAUCUUAUGACGCACAAUCAAUUUUGGAUGUGCACAGAUUUCUAACUUCGGUGAUAAAGAAAGAUCCCACCUAGUUUGCUGGCUCUCUCACUUGAGUUGGUUUAACAGUUAGGUAAUGUUGAUGACUUGAUAUGCAGAGAAGAGGCUAAGGAAUUAUUGCCAUGUACUAAAACAAUGGAGAGUUGAAGCUUCUAAACUGGAAGCUUGAAUAAAUAGUUUGCCCUGAACACUACUCCUGAUUUCUUAGAUUACUGUCAUCUCAACUAAUUAUGUUACCGGUUUGGUGGUACGGAAUUGAUUUUCAGAAAAUGAUGUUCUUCUCAUUGGUGCUUCUCCAGUGGGAUCUGGAUUACAUCACACUAUGCAUCUUCUCGGUUUGCUGGGGAACUUCCUAGUUUUAAUAUGACAACUAGCAAAACAGUCUGGCUAAUUUCAUGAUUCCUGCUGAUUUUGUACUUUCAACUCAAGUAGCUCACGUUCCUGGAUUAAAGACAAAAAUGCGUUCACACAUACAUGAUUCCUGCUGAUUGUCUAACUUUCAACUCAAGUAGCUCACAUUCCUGGAUUAAAGACAAAAAUGCUUUCACACAUACCUUCUUCUGAUGUCUAAUCUGAUCUGGUUUAUGGGAUCUUCAACUACAUAUUCUCAAAUCUUUAAUUACAUAUAAUAUUGGUUUUCUGUGAACUCCCUAAUUUCAAUUUCCUUGGCAACUAGCAAAAAUACUAAUGAUUACUGCCAAUUGCAUAGCUUAUCUCCAGUUAUACAUAGGCCACACAUUAUAUUUCAUAGUCUGGAUUUUUAGGUCACAAAAGUAUCUCCUUUGACCCUCUAAUGGGAUAAAACUGUGAAAGAUAAUCAUCCUCCAGAUGUUGGUAUAUAUUCUUAUUUUCAAGAUUAAAGGUUUGAAUCACCCUCACCCCACUAUAGAAAUUAGUUUCUCAUCCAGGUUCUGGAAUUUAUAGCUUUCUUUGUUUGUGCCCCUAUGUC
rnacentral:lncRNA from 1 species